GUUCUCGUAGUUAAAUGCUUAUAACAGUGGCUUUUCAGGCCGUUGAUCCUGGAUAGAGGCCGGGCGAGAAUU
rnacentral:tRNA from 1 species